UACGAAGGGGGCUAGCGUUGCUCGGAAUCACUGGGCGUAAAGGGUGCGUAGGCGGGGUCUUUAAGUCAGGGGUGAAAUCCUGGAGCUCAACUCCAGAACUGCCUUUGAUACUGAGGAUCUUGAGUUCGGGAGAGGUGAGUGGAACUGCGAGUGUAGAGGUGAAAUUCGUAGAUAUUCGCAAGAACACCGAGUGGCGAAGGCGGCUCACUGGCCCGAUACUGACGCUGAGGCACGAAAGCGUGGGG
rnacentral:rRNA from 1 species